GUUACCUGCCAAAUGAAUUUAAGUUCCCCCUUAACUCAUUCCCCAAGGACACCUACCUGACCCCAUUCGUGUAAGAGUUAAGAGUUAUUCGAUGGGGGUACAGCCCCUUCGAAAAAGAACACAAUCUCCUCCAGCGGAUAAUCCACUUCCUCCUUCCCCAUCGUAGGCCCUUAAGCAGCCAUCAACAAAAGAGUGCGUCAAAGCUCCCCUAUAAAAAAAUCUAUACCCCUAUCUGACUCCCUAACCCCAAGCAGGUUAACCUAUAACAAUAGGAGAAUCAAUGCUAAAAUGAGUAACUUGGAACCCCCCCCCCUCAUCGGCGUAAACUUACAUUAAUAUAUUAUUAACAGAACAACUUAUACCCCUACUUCAACAAGAAUAAGUAUUCAACCCAAUCUGUUAACCCAACUCAGGAACGCCAAUAUUAGAUGAUUAAAACCCGCAAAAGGAACUCGGCAAACCAAAGACCCGACUGUUUACCAAAAACAUAGCCUUCAGCUAACAACAAGUAUUGAAGGUGAUGCCUGCCCAGUGACCCCAAAGUUCAACGGCCGCGGUAUCCUA
rnacentral:rRNA from 1 species